UAGCCAUUUGAAAAGGAAAACAAAACAAACUUAAAACCUUCCCCCCCCCCUCAUUCGGUCCGCCGUUCAAUCACCAUUCCACCACCAUAAUCGCUGGAUGAUGGCGCGCAAUGGUUUCUUAUUGCCUUCCGUUUAAAACCAAGCCUCAAAGGUCGUCGAUUUCAACCCCAAAAUCCUAUCUCAAACUUCGAUUUUAACGAAGGAGAUGAGGACUCCGAUGGCUCGUAUGCGAAGUAUGGAGGUACAAGGCUAGCUGUGGUGGUACGUGGCACUCGACGUGGGGCGUACGGAGGUGUGCUGGAGGUUAUACGGCGCUUGGAGGUUGAAGGCUGCUGCGGCGCAUCGAGGGGGACCCUAAGGUUUCUGUGAAUGCCAAACUCUCGGGCCAUUUGGGCCUGCUCUGUUGUGUAAUAUUGGGCUAGGAUUAAUUUGGGUCCUUGUAAUUAUUUUGGGCCGAUGGACUGUCAAUAUUUGUUGUAAAUGGAUUGUAAUAUUUGGACUGUUAUAAUAUUUUUAUUAUAAUUUA